GAAAUGCGAUAAUUAAUGUGAAUUGCAGAAUUCAGUGAAUCAUCGAGUCUUUGAACGCACAUUGCGCCCCCUGGUAUUCCGGGGGGCAUGCCUGUCCGAGCGUCAUUGCUGCCCUCAAGCACGGCUUGUGUGUUGGGCUUCCGUCCCUGGCAACGGGGACGGGCCCAAAAGGCAGUGGCGGCACCAUGUCUGGUCCUCGAGCGUAUGGGGCUUUGUCACCCGCUCCCGUAGGUCCAGCUGGCAGCUAGCCUCGCAACCAAUCUUUUUAACCAGGUAGACCUCGGAUCAGGUAGGGAUACCCGCUGAACUUAAGC
rnacentral:misc_RNA from 1 species